rnacentral:rRNA from 1 species
UGGAUGAGUGGCGAACGGGUGAGUAACACGUGAGUAACCUGCCCUCUUCUUUGGGAUAACGCCCGGAAACGGGUGCUAAUACUGGAUAUUCACUGAUCUUCGCAUGGGGGUUGGUGGAAAGGUUUUUUCUGGUGGGGGAUGGGCUCGCGGCCUAUCAGCUUGUUGGUGGGGUGAUGGCCUACCAAGGCUUUGACGGGUAGCCGGCCUGAGAGGGUGACCGGUCACAUUGGGACUGAGGUACGGCCCAG